ACAAUACCUGACAAUAGAUUCCAUUGUCUUACUAACUAUAACCAUUAACUCAUACUAAUUCUCAUUCGAACAGCUUUUUUUUCCCUUUAUGCGUGCCUGAACCUUCAGGUUGCUCAUACGUAACUGAAAACAUUUAAUUUAAGCAAGGAUGAGCAUUUGAGUGCCCAGCAAGUAAUAGCAAUUAUAUAUAUAAGUUGAAAGAAUAUAAGUAUUCUC
rnacentral:lncRNA from 1 species